AUUGCCCUGACCUCUGGGAUCUCUGACAUGCACCCAUGAGCUCUCUUUAAGCCCAGACUUGGGUGCUAUAAGUCUGAGUCUCUUGUUGCUGAAGGCCUAUAAUUGCUGGUUGUUAUUAAGAAGUCAUGACUUGCUCUUUCUGGAAUAACCUGCUCUUCCUGUAUUUUAAGAUCAACUUGCACAAAUGCAGUCAACAAACAUCAUGAAGUACCUCAGAGCCUAAUAACCCUAGUCUGGACAACCUGUGAAGCUACCUUGCUGAGGUGGUAAG